rnacentral:rRNA from 1 species
AACGAACGCUGGCGGCAUGCCUAACACAUGCAAGUCGAACGAGACCUUCGGGUCUAGUGGCGCACGGGUGCGUAACGCGUGGGAACCUGCCCUUAGGUUCGGAAUAACUCCCCGAAAGGGGUGCUAAUACCGGAUAAUGUCUUCGGACCAAAGAUUUAUCGCCUUUGGAUGGGCCCGCGUUGGAUUAGCUAGUUGGUAGGGUAAAAGCCUACCAAGGCGACGAUCCAUAGCUGGUCUGAGAGGAUGAUCAGCCACGCUGGGACUGAGACACGGCCCAGACUCCUACGGGAGGCAGCAGUGGGGAAUAUUGGACAAUGGGCGAAAGCCUGAUCCAGCAAUACCGCGUGAGUGAUGAAGGCCUUAGGGUUGUAAAGCUCUUUUACCCGGGAUGAUAAUGACAGUACCGGGAGAAUAAGCGCCGGCUAACUCCGUG